rnacentral:rRNA from 1 species
GAGUGGCGAACGGGUGAGUAAUACAUCGGAACGUGCCCUGUAGUGGGGGAUAACUAGUCGAAAGACUAGCUAAUACCGCAUACGACCUGAGGGUGAAAGUGGGGGACCGCAAGGCCUCAUGCUAUAGGAGCGGCCGAUGUCUGAUUAGCUAGUUGGUGGGGUAAAGGCCCACCAAGGCGACGAUCAGUAGCUGGUCUGAGAGGACGAUCAGCCACUCUGGGACUGAUACACGGCCCAAACUCCUACGGAAGGAAGCAGUGAGCCCC